rnacentral:rRNA from 1 species
GAUCCUGGCUCAGGAUGAACGCUGGCGGCGUGCCUAACACAUGCAAGUCGAACGAGCAAAUACAUUUGAUUUCUUCGGAAUGAAGAUGUAGGCGCGAGUGGCGGACGGGUGAGUAACGCGUGAGUAAUCGUGCCUCAUACAGGAGAAUAACACUAAGAAAUUGGUGCUAAUACUCCAUAAGCUCACAUUAUGACAUCAUAGAGUGAGAAAAGAUUUAUCGGU